rnacentral:tRNA from 1 species
GUAUGGAAUAUUUACAUUGGUAAUGGUCGGGA